rnacentral:misc_RNA from 1 species
GAUCCGCGUUCAAGCCAGGAAAUAGUUCAAGAGACUAUUUCCUGGCUUGAACGUUUUUUACGCGUG